rnacentral:lncRNA from 1 species
UGGUAGUUCUGCUUAAGCGCACUCCUUCCUCUGAGACCAUUCUGGCUUUUGACUAUACCAUUUUUAGCUUCUGCUUUCUCCUUUUGGCUUGCUCUGCUGACGCUUAAGGGCGUUGUGCUGGUCUUUGAUACAGAAGGUGGCUUCACUUUUCUCUUCAAACCAUCAGAAGAACUGUCUUUCCCCAUGUACUUACUAUUACUAGCUGAUGGUGUCAUGACUGAUGCUGAUGCUCUCUUCUCGUUGUGCUUCCGGUUUGACACUUUCUGAGCAGCUUCUAGUUUCUCUCUUAAAUCUUGAAUCCUCAUAGGAACCGAUGAAGGAGAGUUAGACGGUGGCGAAAACCGCGUUCUAGCAGCCAUCCUAGGACUUGGUUCAAUCAUUCUCGAAGCUGCUUCCAUUACAUAAACAGGGUUCCUAGACGGGACAAAGCCAGGACUCCUGAUAGGAGACAAGAGCCUAUUGUUGGUAACACAGAUCGGUUUGGCCAACCUGGGAGGAAAAGUUUCAGUCUGGAACCUCUCAAUGGGUCGGUUGCGUCCUUCAUUCGUUCUUGAAUCCAAAUGUUCCCAAGAUACUCCUCCAUCAUAGUCACUACGGAGAUUUACAUAACCAAGAUUCUCAUAUGCAUUCCAUUUGCUUGUGUUACGUGAAGGUCUAAGGAAGAAUGGAUCAAGAUCAGGGUUAAACCGAGGCUCUUGGACAUUUGGUACUGGUAAAGACUCUAAACCCAUGAGCCUCGCAACCACACUUGGGGCUCUUGUUCCCUGGCCCUCAUCAUCACUGGUAACAGAAGAUGCACAGCAGCUUGACUCACUUCUUGGGUUGUAACUCAAAUUCUUGCUAACUUCAUCAACCUCAAUCUGUAUAAUAAUUCACAUCAAACAAAUAAAGAAGACGAAGGGUACUUGAUAUAAGCAAGGAAAUAGUAUUGAGGAAACUCACGAGAGAAAGACUAGAGAGGUUUUGAACAUUCUGUUUCGUCUGCUUUGGUUCUUCUGAUACAAAAACAAGAUGAAUCACUCACAGCAUUAUGAAUUCAAGAACAAGAACAACAUUGUCUUUAACCAAUGUUCAAGAAAUCGCUAGGUGGUGAUAAUAGGCACUAUUGUUUAGGCGGGUGCCUAUACCGAUUUUUUGAAUGCAUAGACCGUAACUUUAACCAUAUAAUCAAAUCCUUCUAAAGAGAAGUACAUUUUCCUUAAACUAGACAUAUCUACAUGAUGCCACAAGAACUGAGCUAAACAUUUCUUAACUAGCUGUGACCAUUACAAAGGCAAUACUGUAAGACACACCUGAGAGUUCCGAGCUGCCAGAAGAGAAGAGCUUCUUCCGGGACUUUCCAGGCCAAUCAAAUAGAUUCAAGAACCCUCCUCUAGAUCGUUUCCUCUCAACAACUUCCAUCUUUUUUCAAUUAUUCUUCCAUCUACAAUGCAACAAAAUGGGAUCUUGAAUUGAGAAACUGUAGUAGACAAACCAAAAAAAACGGCUUAAAGAUUGGUAUAAAUAAAAACAUCAAUAAUUGACACAACUAUUAAUCUGAAGUAAAUGGAGAUUAAGACAGGUUUAAUCUAAAAGUGGACACCACAGGAUAAUACAGAACGUAGCUGUGAAGACAAGACAACUCGAAUAAGAUAAUAGACACAUAGAUACAACAAAAAAAAACAAAAAGACUUGGAACUUUUUACAGGAAUCAAUCAGAUCAGAACGUGAACCGCUUUUACCUAUUGGUUAACUUGAGUUGAGAUGCCAAAGACCGAAGCUUUCGAUAAUGGGCUCUUUCCAAAUUGGGAUCUUGUGAAGGUUACAAGCAAUUUCACUCACUUGAACCAAAGCAAUUGAGAAUUGAAAUCGAAAGAGGAGUCAGAAGAAAGAGAAAGGAGAGGUUUUUGAGAGAUGGGUCAGAUCAGUAAAGGUUAAAAAUGAGAGUAAAGAUUUGGGAUUUGGGACCAAUGGAGAGUGAAGAAGCAGAGCAGAGGACUUGAAGAAGAAGAAGAAGAAGAAGAAGAAAACAGAUACUAUACAGUGUGGAUUGAUGUGACGAGAGGUGAAGAGAGAGAGAGAGAGAGCUGCGUUUUGAAUUUUCCACUCUCUCACUUCCCCCACCACCUCUGUAAAUUAAAUUAAAUUGAAUUUUGACCAAAUAAUAAAUAAACUGAAUUAAAUGUUUAUAUCCUUUUUUAUUUUUUUUAAUAAUUUCUUGUGUCGAAUUUAUUGUUUACAGCUUUCAGUAAAAUGUGGAUUUCUUCAAAUUUUAUUAAAAAAAUGGAUUAUGGAUCAUAAAACAAAGUUGCAGUCCAAUUAGCUGAAUGCCUGAAUCAGUAGCAUAUUGCAAUAGUUUAUAGUAAAUGACAUAUCUUCUUUUCAGUUAUAGAACCAUGCAAAAACUUUAUAGUAAACGGUGCUGCAGAGUGCAGAGGUCUAAUAAUAUGCCAAAUCGUAAUAGUUUAUUUUCCAUUGUUUUUGGGAGCCACAAAAUGGGUUUUCGGGCUCCACUUUCUUAUAUUUUACUAAUUUGCUAAUCUUAUUCCAAUUUUCAUUAUUAUUACUAAUUAAAAGUCAUUUCAGCAUUGUAAAAGAAAAAACAGAGUUAUUUCAACAUCUUGGUGACUUUAUAUAUUUGUAGAAAUCGUAAUCAAUGCGCUCCAAAUUGUCACCAUUUGGCAAUCUCUGUCCACCACCAUUUAGUAUUUCUUCUGUUUUUGUCGAACACGUUUGUGUACAGUUAUUAGAGCUUUUUUCUGUUUCUGAUAAUUACACCUUUCGGAUUAUUUUGUUAUUAAGCUUGUGAAAGAAACGGCACAUGGAAUUGGUUCAUGUGAGGAUUGUCGCAUAUGCAAGUUUCCCUGCUUUAAUCAUUAUACUUCGUUAAUGUUGUUACUGAAAGUGUUUUUUCUCAAUUCGGUAUUCAUCAUUGUAAAAUAUGAGGAGUAUAUCUCUACUUGAGUUUAUUAUAAUAUAUAUGAACCUCAAACCUUAUCAAAUCAUGCAAACCUGAAAAAGGUGGAACUAAAGUGAAGUUUGGCAAGUAAACAUAAAACGAAUGACAGUGAAAUAUACAAAUAUGAAAUGGACAGUAGAAACUUAUUUUAAUUAAAUCCAAAUAAGUUCGUAUGCUGUUUUGUGCCAAACAGAAAAUUAUUUGAAGUUAAAAAAGUACAAGAGAGUCAUUAAUCAAAAGCAUUUGUUUGAGAUAUGAUUAAAUGUCUUUUCAGUUGGACGGCAACUAUCCCAAGACACAGUCAGAUCUUGAGUAAGAUAUUGGUGUGAAUUUGUUGCAAAGCACAGCUACUUUUAAUAGUCCGGUUCCACAAAAUCCUAAACCAACCACUUGAAAUCUUGAGCAUCCACGAUGAGAAAAAGGUUAACUGGUUUAGAAUUUGCGGUUGUAGAAAUAAAAAUAAUAAUAAUAAUAAUAACUACCAUAGUUCUUAGGGUUUAAAAUGAUCUCGAGAAGAGGAUUAUAGAUGUCGACAUAGAUUAAAGUAUUCUCCACUAGAUUUCUAGAAAGCAAAUCAGUAUUUGCUGAGAGCUUGUCGUUGUAAAGUUUUUAUGCGUCAUUAUAGGAACCAUCGUAAGACUCCUCGAACAAAGGUUCUCCGUGAUUGGAUACAUCCUAAAGCUGGUACGAACUCUUCUUGCUCCACGGUCAAAGAGUGUCUACAAAUAUCAUGUGAUGAAGAACAUUAAAGAAAAAUUGCAAAAAUGAAUUAUGAUGCUACUGAAAAGGUGGACAUGUAAAUGAUAUAGUUAGGGAUGUUAAUUACAGGGUUAGGGCCUAACCCUCUCUUGUGUAAUAUAAACCCAACCCUAUUUUAACCCAACCCUAUUUUAACCCUGUUUUAGUUACAGGGUUAGCCCAUUAAUUUUUAUGCAAAACAAGAUAUAUUUAAAAACUCAAGAUAUUAUUAUAUAGAUAGAAAAAGUGUUAUUCAUUUUUGUCCCCAAAUUCAAAAUAUGAAAAAAAACAAAGUUUAAAUAUUUUUAUUCAUAUAAUUCACUACAAGUCUCGUGAAGACUUUACAAUUACAUGUAUCCUCCAAGCUCCAAACUUGGCUACGUGACUCCACUCUGCAAAAACAAGAGAGAUGGCAGUCAUGUAAAGCUGUCAAACAAACAUCAUACAAGCAAUCAAACAGCAUCAAAUAAGCAAAUCUGUGAACUCUAUACUGUAACAAAAGAUAACAAAACAGUUAGCUCAUACAGUUUACAAGAGCUAAAGCUGAACAUGGCUGCUGCUACUAUGUAAUAUACACUCAUAUAAUAUUAUCAUGGCUGCUGCUACUAUGUAACAUUCAUGUCUCAGGAAAGGAUCUAAACAUGUAAUGUGUUUCCUUCACUGAACUUCACAAACUUGUUUACAGAACACACACAAGCUAUCUUGGAACUCUACGCAAGCUAUCAUGUAGGUGGAAGAUAGUGAAUCAGAUGAUAAGCCUUUGAUGGGAGACGAGAACGUGAAUGAGAUCACAUCCAUUUCCUUUUUCCCAUCAUCUUUGCCUGUGUUAUCAAUGGUGAUGUUACAUUUUAUCACGUUUUCAUUCCUUUUGAUCCGUUUAUCAUUGGAGAUUCCAGUUUCUUGCUUUUUGCUCCUGGGAAGAGUUUUCUUGCGAGACAAAGAUAGAGAAGUGUUCUUUCCAGCCAAUGCCGUUGUUGAACCUUGCUGCUUUGACACUGGAGCCUUGUUCACAACUUUGUUAACUACACUGCUGCUUUUUUGGUUCGAAGCCGAGGUUACUGAGCGUUGGUUCUGUUUCUGGUAGUUCUGCUUAAGCGCACUCCUUCCUCUGAGACCAUUCUGGCUUUUGACUAUACCAUUUUUAGCUUCUGCUUUCUCCUUUUGGCUUGCUCUGCUGACGCUUAAGGGCGUUGUGCUGGUCUUUGAUACAGAAGGUGGCUUCACUUUUCUCUUCAAACCAUCAGAAGAACUGUCUUUCCCCAUGUACUUACUAUUACUAGCUGAUGGUGUCAUGACUGAUGCUGAUGCUCUCUUCUCGUUGUGCUUCCGGUUUGACACUUUCUGAGCAGCUUCUAGUUUC